rnacentral:sRNA from 1 species
GCUAGGCGUGGUGGCGUGCACCUGUAAUCCCAGCUACUUGGGAGGCUGAGGCAGGGAGAAUUGCUUGAACCUGGGAGGUGGGGGUUGCAGUGAGCCAAUAUUGUGCCACUGCACUUGAGCCUAGGCAACAGAGCAAGACUCCGUCUCAAAAAAAAAAAAAAAAAUAGGAUCUUGCUCUGUUGCCUAGACUGGAGUGAAGUGGCGCGAUCUUGGCUCACUGCAGCCUCAACUUCCCAGGCUCAAGUGAUUCUCCUCCCUGA